GGUGUUGUAGCUGCGAUUUGCAGAGACAAAUUAGGGCAGUACCUGGGCGCUUUUGCUAUUGUUUUUGAUGGCCUGAUUGAUGCGCUAAGCCUUGAAGCACAUGCAUGCAACGAAGCACUAGCACUAGCAAGGGAUCUCAAUGUUUCACAUGUGAUAGUUGCCUCAGACUGCAUGCAAGUCAUAUCAGAUAUCAAUCGAGGCGCACUAUCAGCUUAUGCUCUAGUUCCUUAUGAGAUUAGAGAGAGUAUGAAAGACUUUGUUAAUGUUAGUUUUCGUUUUGAGAAAAGGGAGUUAAAUUUUGAAGCUCAUGCCUUGGCUAAGGCGGCUUCGACACUCCCCUUUGGUCGCCAUUUGUGGCUAGGGAAACUGCCAGAUAUUACUUGUAUUCCUGCUGUUAUGAACAAUGAAUAA
rnacentral:rRNA from 1 species